ensembl:lncRNA
CCUGACAUCAUGAUAAAGAUACCACUGUUGUACUAAUCUUCAUAAAAAUAUCUAGUGCUGGGCGAUAUGACGAUAUAUAUCGUGUGGACGAUAGAAAAGUGUCUAUCAUGCCAUUUGUCUUCUACCGUUUCUAACCUAAUUUUAUAAAUUAUUACAUAAAAUAUAUCAUUAAACAGCCUGUGGCAGAUAUAUUAGUGUUGUCUUCUCACUAUACAUACUCUUAACUUUAUGCAAGAGAAAAUAAAGUUUAAAAAAAGAUAUUUUUUGCAAAGAAACUCCGUCUUGUGGUUUUGCGACAUGGUGCUGCUUUAUGUGCAUGCUUUACGGUAACUCAAAACGAUGGACGUGCGACAGGUUGCAGUUUCAUGCCUGGACAUGCAACAGGAAGAGACAGCUACACAGGCAGCCCAAGAAGAAGCACUUUUACCGAAAAAAGAGGGGGUACGUCUGUGAUUUGGUUACAUUUUGGGUUCAACAGCACCAACACGUAGCAGAAGACGCCCAUUUGACAACAAUUCUGAUGGCUAAAGAUCCAAACGGGACACAAAAAAAAAGAAAAAAGAAAAUGUGGUAUCGAGGCCGAUAAAAAAAAAAAAAAAAAAAAAAGAAGACGCCCAUUUGCAAGCUAUGCUAUAAAACUAUUCCUGCACCCAAUGGCAGCACAACAAAUCUCUUCUAUCACCUACAGAAGGUCCACGAAGAAGAAAACUCAAGAAUCCAGAAAAUCCGAGCUAAACCAAGUUGUGGAACGAUGGGAGCAAGUUGGGAAAAGAAAAACUAUAGCCAGCUGAAGAUACAGCAGUCUUUCGCACAAGAUACGCCGUAUGAGAAAACGUUCCAGCGCCAUAAACAAAUCACAGGAGCCAUCUCGCGUUACAUUUGUAAAGGCAUGGUUCCUGUUUAUGUAGUUGAGAAGGACAGCUUUCGUGACCUCAUCAAAGUCUUUGAUCCGUGGUACGUUAUGCCCGGUCGUAAGCACUUCAGUAAAGUUGAGUUGCCACGCUUAUAUGAUGCAUGCCGGGCCAAAGUAGAGAAGGAUGUUUGCAGUGUCGUGCAUUAUGCCUUGAUGACUGACCUAUGGACGAGCAGAGAUACACAGCCCUACAUGAGCGUAACCAUCCCUUUCAUUAAC